GGGGAUUUAGCUCAGUGGAAGAGUACUUGCCUGGCAAGUAAAAGGCCCUGAGUUCAGUCCUCAGCUCUG
rfam:Dipodomys ordii contig_47546, whole genome shotgun sequence.